rnacentral:misc_RNA from 1 species
AAAAAUCCAUGAAACAUCCCAUCAGAUAAAGGCUACUAGCUAGAACCAAAAAUAACUAAAACUAGAAACCAAUAAUUCCAUAAAAAAAAAGUCAUGUAAAAAAAAAUCAUAUGAGAAAUAACAACUUUCUAGAUGAUCAUUGAUGGAAACUACUCACUGGAUUUUGAUGACUGACACAACAAUUAUGAGUCAAAGAUAAUAAUAAGAUAUAUUUUUUUUCCACAAAAGGUUUAUUCGGCUCAAGGAACAGGGCCCAAGCACAUGAGGAAUGGACCAAAGGACACUGCUUGGUGGUGCCAAAGUUUACAUAUUCAGAUACAAGCUGUUUUGGGAAAUCAGAAAAUCAAAUUCAGAAGAUUGAAGAGUUGAUACAAUUAUACAGUAAAAACCCAUGAGGAGUUCUCAACCACAGGCAAAACCUAAACAGCUGACCCUCAUCUACGUUAGAUGUUAGUGAAUGGCCAUUAUGCCAAUAAUGGGAAGUAAUUCUAAGCAGAGGGCCAUUCUAGAUGUUCAGU